rnacentral:rRNA from 1 species
CCUACGGGGGGCUGCAGUGGGGAAUAUUGGACAAUGGGGGGAACCCUGAUCCAGCCAUGCCGCGUGUGUGAAGAAGGCCUUUUGGUUGUAAAGCACUUUAAGCGAGGAGGAGGAGCUCUUGGUUAAUACCCAAGAUGCUUGGACGUUACUCGCAGAAUAAGCACCGGCUAACUCUGUGCCAGCAGCCGCGGUAAUACAGAGGGUGCAAGCGUUAAUCGGAUUUACUGGGCGUAAAGCGCGCGUAGGUGGCCAAUUAAGUCAAAUGUGAAAUCCCCGAGCUUAACUUGGGAAUUGCAUUCGAUACUGGUUGGCUAGAGUAUGGGAGAGGAUGGUAGAAUUCCAGGUGUAGCGGUGAAAUGCGUAGAGAUCUGGAGGAAUACCGAUGGCGAAGGCAGCCAUCUGGCCUAAUACUGACACUGAGGUGCGAAAGCAUGGGGAGCAAACAGGAUUAGAUACCCGUGUAGUC